ensembl:snRNA U6 U6 spliceosomal RNA
GUUCUCACCUCAGCAGCACAUAUACUAAAAUUGGAACGAUACAGAGAAGAUUAGCAUGACCCCUGCACAAGGAUGACAUGCAAAUUCGUGACACAUUCCAUAUUUUU